GUGUGAGAGGGGGAGAGGGUGUGAGGACGUGUGUGGCGUUCAGUCCCGAAGGACGGGGCGGAGGAAGGGGCCUGGAGUCUGUCACUUCCUGAGGGAGCGCGGAGGUCGAGAGACCUGUGAGGCGCGCGGCGGGGCCGGGAGGGUCAGCACAUUGUGAGCCGGCAAGGGGACGCGGAACAGCCGGGCGGCGCGCGGCCACCGGGCACGGAAUCCGCUGUCGCCACCACUCCGCCGCCGCAGCCCGGCGAGUGGCGGGGCGCGGGGAGGAGGGGGCUGAGCCGGGUGGGGGAGCGCGGGGCGCGGCGGCGGCACCAGGCGGUUCGACUGGAGCCCUGCGUCAGCCGGCGGCACGCGCACACCUGCCCGCCGCCGCUACCGGCCGCGUCAUUGGCUGCCGGCGCCGAGCGCGCGAGAUUGAACCUUCCAUUCAUUCCAGGGCCGGGCGGGCGAGCGCGGCCGCGGUGGAGCUUUACCGCGGGCGCCCCCGAACCCCCGAAGCGCGUCCCCGCGCAGGCCGUGGGCGCGCACGGCCGCUGCCGCCGUUUGUUCUGGUGGAGGCUGCGAGUGCCUGGGCCUGUGACUCCCGGCUCUCCGCGCGCAGCGUCAGUCUGGGAGGGAAGCUCACAUGGCGGUCCCUAGGAUGCCCUGGACAUCAUUCCGAACAGCACAAUUCAAGGGUGGCUGAAACAACAAAAAUGUAACGUCUUACAGAUCUGAAGGCUUCCGGGUCGAUUCUGGACUGUGAUGAGAAUCUGUGCCAAGCCUCUCUCCUGGCUUCUGGUAGACUCGGGCAUUCCUUAGCUUGUAAAUGGCUGCUGCUUGUGUCAUCACAUUGUCUUCCCUUUCUACUUAUCUGUCCCCAUGCCCCAAUUUUUCCUUUUCAGGACACCAGUCAGAUUAGGACCCACCCUAAUGAUCUCAUCUUAACUUGAUUAACUACAAGGACCCUAUUUUUAAGUACACAUUUACAGAGACUGGGGGGUAGGACUUCAACAUCUUUUUGGAGGGAUGCAGUUCAACCCAUAACAAGAAUCAUUGUUAGAAAUGAUUUUGCUUCUUCACUGAAAAAUUAAUAUCAUUCUGCAGAGAACUGACUUGCUGCACAUGGCACAGAUUUUUUGCAUUUAUCAUAGUAAAAGAAAUCAGUCACAAAAGUUUGUUUUAGACUGCUACAUACCUAUCACAAAUACAAAUUAUUUCCAACAUCAAAAGUUAAUAAAGCAAGCACUGUCACCCAAAUUAUAUUGUAUCUAUUGAGCACUCCCUUAUGUACAGAAGAGGAAAAUGAGAAAUGAACAGGAAGUUUAACAUUCAUAAAAACUGUUGGCUGGGCGCGGUGGGUCACUCCUGUAAUCCCAGCACUUUGGGAGACCGAGGUGGGUGGAUCACCUGAUAUCAGGAGUUCAAUACCAGCUGGCCAACA
rnacentral:lncRNA from 10 species